rnacentral:tRNA from 1 species
GGAAAGAUGGACGAGUGGUUUAAAUCACAUGUCUAGAAAACAUGUACAGAUAUCUGUCAAGGGUUCGAAUCCCUUUCUUUCCU